GUUAAAGAUUAGGAAAUACUGUUACAGCUAAAAACGAGUUAAGACCAUCUCCAGCAUGCUAUAUCCUCCUGCCUGGGCCCAAUACCUCAUGACUCAUGUUUACUUUCUGGUUAGAAUUAUAUUGCAGCUAGUGUUUUCUUUUGUAAUUGAAAGACUCCCUAACACCCUCCCCUGAAAGCAAUCUUCAUUCCAGAGAGGAGGACAAGGGACAAGAACCCUGAAGACAACCAGGAACCGUCACCAGACACCUUGGAUGCUGGCCUUGAGACUGUCUAUGGAUAAAGAAAAACAGACACCUUAAUCAGUAUCCCUGCCUUCGGAGCUAAACCUAUAAAGCGUUUGCCAUCCCCUCUCAAGUCAGGACAUAGUCGCGAGAUGUCAGCCUGCUGUGUCCUUCUUUGCCUGGCAAAGCAAUAAAGCUGUUCUUUCUUUUUCUCAAAACUCUGUCUCCGAGAUUUCAUCGGGGCCGACGUACAGAGGCGACAUUUUCGGCUGCAGAAGGGAACUUGAGAGGAAUUGAGGACGUCAGGGCACAGGUGACGGAGCUCUGGUCUUUGAAAGCUGGGAGAACCUUGCGAGUGACUUCGUUUCUCAGAACCUGGGAUUUCUGUAUGUGACAUGGGAAUGAUCUCAGUACCCGUUCUGCUUAAAGCCAGGCUGUGGCCAGCAACCGAGAUGGGCAUGAGGGGAGACGAUUAUUUUCUGAGCAACGUCUGAAUCCCCUUUGGGCCAGAACUGUCGCUGCUGCCCGACCGGAAGCCCUGAGGUUCCAGCCUGCGACCCCAAGACGCCAGCCGUACAGAGGCGUAACUUCAAAAGAUGAGGAUUUUCUCCUACUGAGGAGGACACUCAGCAGAACAUGCUGCUUACUUCAGAGGCAACGCCAAAGAGCGAUUUUACAGCAUUUUGAAUCCUGCCUGCAUUGUUAUAAUAAACUGACUAUCUCCCUAGAUGACCAUUGUUAUAAUAAACUGACUAUCUCCCUACUUGAAGAAGUAGACAACCAUUUGGCUAUAUGUUUGUUUAAAAAUGUAACAAUUUUAUAUUAGCAUUCAUCUUUUUAAAAAUAAUUAUACCAACAUUCAAGUCUAAAGGAGUGAGAUUUGGAGUCUGGGACAAUAUAGGGCCCCAGUAGAAUGAGGCCAAACAAGGAGAAAAGAGUAAACGAAAAAAAAAUCUAUGCAUUAUGACCAUAAUAAAAAACCAUGAGUUUCCCUGAGGUGUUCA
rnacentral:lncRNA from 1 species